UGGCUAUAAAAUCUUGCACAAUCAUUAACACACAAAAUUAAUGAAUGUGUUACUUUUUAUUUUUAUAUUUUUUACAGACAACUUUUCUCUGUUUAUAGAAAAUUAAUAUAGAAUAAUAGACAUCUUAUAGAAAAACUAAAUUUAGAAUUUUUUAAAGUAUAACUAGAUUUUUAUUUAUUCAUUGAGCUAAGUGCUUUAAAAUUAAAUGUAACGGACUGAAUUCAUAGCCAUGCAAGACAUUUUAUAGUUUGUGACCUGGCCAUAUUUGUCUCAUAUUUGCAGUGAAAGAAUUUAACAAAAUAUUGACUUAAACUUUCUGUAAUUGCAAUUUUGGCCUUUGUUAAGCUUUGUUUUGAGAAUUGUUGUGAGUGUAUAAAUGCAAGUCGGUGGAUCAGCAUUGUAUUAUUGUAAAUCAAUAUAUGUUGCUAAUAAUAAA
rnacentral:lncRNA from 1 species